AAGUCUCCUCCUCAUCCUUAUUGCUUAAUAGACUGAAAUCAGUUGAUGAGACUACAUCAGUGACUUGCUUCUCUGGUUUAUUCUUUCAUGUGGGAGAUCAAUGUGGAUUUUUACGAGUGACCGCAGUUUACUGGUUCUUUUCCACUUUCCUCUCCCCCCCGGUCUACUAUUUCACCCUCCUCUGUCUUGUCUCUGUUGUGGACAAGAACUCAUGAUACGACCUUGAAUUGGUCUGAAUUUAUCUUGACUGUCUCUUGCGGUAAAACUGAAGGUGAGAACUCGGUUAGUAAAAUGUUUUGUGAGCCUUCCAGUUCAAGGAUAAAGCCU